rnacentral:rRNA from 1 species
AGCAUGUCUAAGUGGAGUAUUAUAUAGCGAAACUGCGAACGGCUCAUUACAACAGAUAUAAUUUACUAGUUCUUGUUUCUAUAUGGAUAACUGCGGUAAUUCUGGAGCCAAUACAUGCAUCAAGCCCUGGCCGUUCGGUUAGGGUGCAAUUAUUGGAGCAAAACCAGUCUCGUACUGUUUGCUAACUCAGGAUAAUUCUGCAUAUCGCAUGGUCUAGUACCGGCGAAGUUUCUUUCAAGUAUCUGCUUUAUCAACUAUCGUUGGUAGUUUAUUGGUCUACCAUGGUGUUGACGGGUAACGGAGAAUCAGGGUUUGACUCCGGAGAGGGAGCCUUAGAAACGGCUACCAUGUCUAAGGAUAGCAGCAGGCGCGAAAAUUACCCAAUAUCAAAACGAUGAGGUAGUGACGAGAAAUAACAAGAUCGUUCUCUUUGAGAUCGAUUAUUGGAAUGAGUACAAUCCAGAAAUUUUAACGAGUAUCUACGAGAGGGCAAGUCUGGUGCCAGCAGCCGCGGUAAUUCCAGCUCUCGUAAUGUAUAGAAUUAUUGUUGCGAUUAAAAAGUUCGUAGUUGGAUUGCAACGCAGGUAUGGGUCCAUCCUUUGGGUGCGUACUCAAUGCUUGCAUUUUGCAUGUUUUUGUGGCGUCGCUUCGGUGGCGUUCAUGAUGCAUGCAGGAUUACUUUGAACGGCUCAAGUGCUUAAAGCAAGUCUUAUGACUGAAUACCGGUGCAUGGAAUAAUGGAACAAGGUUGUGGCUGAGUUUUAUUGGUUUUGUCGGCCAAAACAAUGGUUAACAGGAACAGCCGGGGGCAUUCGUAUCGCUGCGCGAGA